rnacentral:rRNA from 2 species
AGGAGUUUUGGUUUUUGCUCAGGACGAACGCUGGCGGCGUGCUAAUACAUGCAAGUCGAACGAACUCUGGUAUUGAUUGGUGCUUGCAUCAUGAUUUACAUUUGAGUGAGUGGCGAACUGGUGAGUAACACGUGGGAAACCUGCCCAGAAGCGGGGGAUAACACCUGGAAACAGAUGCUAAUACCGCAUAACAACUUGGACCGCAUGGUCCGAGCUUGAAAGAUGGCUUCGGCUAUCACUUUUGGAUGGUCCCGCGGCGUAUUAGCUAGAUGGUGAGGUAACGGCUCACCAUGGCAAUGAUACGUAGCCGACCUGAGAGGGUAAUCGGCCACAUUGGGACUGAGACACGGCCCAAACUCCUACGGGAGGCAGCAGUAGGGAAUCUUCCACAAUGGACGAAAGUCUGAUGGAGCAACGCCGCGUGAGUGAAGAAGGGUUUCGGCUCGUAAAACUCUGUUGUUAAAGAAGAACAUAUCUGAGAGUAACUGUUCAGGUAUUGACGGUAUUUAACCAGAAAGCCACGGCUAACUACGUGCCAGCAGCCGCGGUAAUACGUAGGUGGCAAGCGUUGUCCGGAUUUAUUGGGCGUAAAGCGAGCGCAGGCGGUUUUUUAAGUCUGAUGUGAAAGCCUUCGGCUCAACCGAAGAAGUGCAUCGGAAACUGGGAAACUUGAGUGCAGAAGAGGACAGUGGAACUCCAUGUGUAGCGGUGAAAUGCGUAGAUAUAUGGAAGAACACCAGUGGCGAAGGCGGCUGUCUGGUCUGUAACUGACGCUGAGGCUCGAAAGUAUGGGUAGCAAACAGGAUUAGAUACCCUGGUAGUCCAUACCGUAAACGAUGAAUGCUAAGUGUUGGAGGGUUUCCGCCCUUCAGUGCUGCAGCUAACGCAUUAAGCAU